rnacentral:ncRNA from 1 species
CAUGAUGAGCUGUAAUAGCUUGGAUUGUAUAGCAGGUAGUCGCAGUCGCCUACAUUGAAUAAUUUUUUUUAAUGAAAAAAAGACUCGUUUUAAAUGAAUCUUUUUAAACGUUAGGAUUGUUAUGAUUUUAACGAACUGU